rnacentral:rRNA from 1 species
AUUGAACGCUGGCGGCAUGCCUUACACAUGCAAGUCGAACGGUAACAGGUCUUCGGAUGCUGACGAGUGGCGAACGGGUGAGUAAUGCAUCGGAACGUGCCCAGUUGUGGGGGAUAACUGCUCGAAAGAGCAGCUAAUACCGCAUACGACCUGAGGGUGAAAGGGGGGGAUCGCAAGACCUCUCGCUAUCAGAGCGGCCGAUGUCGGAUUAGCUAGUUGGUGGGGUAAAGGGCCAACAAGGCGACGAUCCGUAGCUGGUCUGGAAGGAAGGCCGGCCACACUGGGGCUGAGACACGGCCCAGACUCCCACGUGAGGCAGCAGUGGGGAAUUUUGGACAAUGGACGCAAGUCUGAUCCAGCCGUGCCGCGUGCGGGAAGAAGGCCUUCGGGUUGUAAACCGCUUUUGUCAGGGAAGAAAUCUUCUGGGUUAAUACCUCGGGAGGAUGACGGUACCUGAAGAAUAAGCACCGGCUAACUACGUGCCAGCCGCCGCCGUAACAC